rnacentral:rRNA from 1 species
CCUACGGGGGGCUGCAGUGAGGAAUAUUGGUCAAUGGACGAGAGUCUGAACCAGCCAAGUAGCGUGAAGGAUGACUGCCCUAUGGGUUGUAAACUUCUUUUAUAUGGGAAUAAAACGUUCCACGUGUGGGAUUUUGUAUGUACCAUAUGAAUAAGGAUCGGCUAACUCCGUGCCAGCAGCCGCGGUAAUACGGAGGAUCCGAGCGUUAUCCGGAUUUAUUGGGUUUAAAGGGAGCGUAGGUGGAUUGUUAAGUCAGUUGUGAAAGUUUGCGGCUCAACCGUAAAAGUGCAGUUGAAACUGGCAGUCUUGAGUACAGUAGAGGUGAGCGGAAUUCGUGGUGUAGCGGUGAAAUGCUUAGAUAUCACGAAGAACUCCGAUUGCGAAGGCAGUUCACUGGACUGCAACUGACACUGAGGCUCGAAAGUGUGGGUAUCAAACAGGAUUAGAUACCCGAGUAGUC